rnacentral:lncRNA from 1 species
ACCACGGGGGCUCAGGGCCUGUGGGUGGAGGAGUCAGGAAUGGGAACCAGUACUUGGGUGGGGAGUACUGGCUGAGUGUGAGUUUCUGCUGUUCCUGCUCCCCAGGGAGUGUCGGGCACUGUGGUGUCUCCAGUCCCCACCCCAGGUCAGGAGGCCAGCUUGGGCCAGGAGGAGAGGCUGGACUUUGGCAGGUGAGUGUGAAUGCCUUUGCUGAAACUGGCCGCUGCCACCCAGUGGCCAGCAUGACAAGGCGAGGCUUUAACACUACCACUUUCUGCAUCCCGUUGUAGGUUUUUCUGGCUUUUCCUCUCCAGCUGUUCCAAGCCAGGCUGGUGAAGUAGGAGUCACCUGUGGUGAGCUGGAGGUUGGAGCCUGUAGAUGGCGUGGCUCUGUGGCUCACUUCCUGUGGUUGUGGCAGCGACAGCGAUGGAGACUGCAGCUCGACAGGAAUGGAGAUGGAAUCCGGAGGAUGGCUGCAGCAAUGCGGAUGUAGGAGACCAAGAUGAGUGCACAGGGAGCCAGGAACAGGACCACAGCCCCCAGGAACACAUGCUGAUUGUCAUGUAUGUGAGCAGGCAAUCUUCAUGAGCAGUUGUUCUGCUUCUCUGGCUGAACCCUGACGGAUACAUACCCAUAUGUUGAGGCUUUGCCAGAGGUGACAAGUCUGUUUUCUUUUACAACAUCAGCUUCUCUAAAGUCCUCUGACCCCCAAAGGACUUAUACUUCAAGACUCCCCUACUCUUCUUUCACUGUAAGAUUUUUCCCCUGUCCCUCUACACAUCCUGUCAUCUCUGGCAUUACUAUUUAUGGCCUGAUUCUGCCUUGAAUGACCCUGAAGUCCCCAAGACUCACAUGUGUAAAAAAUUUCUUAGUUUGAUUUUGAUCAGCUCCUAAGAGAGAAUUUCUAGGUGAGAGAAGGAACUGUAAAAACGGUCCAUCAACUGCAUUCUUCAAAAAUGUUGAUGUCAUAAUAGGCACAGAAAUGCUGGGGAACCUUUAUAGAUUCAAGGAGACUAAGGACAUAUAAUAACUAAAUAUAGUAUGAGGUUCUAGACUGGAACAUGUACUGAAAGAAAAGAAUGCUAUAAAGAACAUUUCUGGCUAAAUUGACACAAAUGAAAUACAGACAGUAGAUUAAAUAAAAUUCCAUGUUUCUGUUCAAUUUACCAACAUCGAUAACUAUACUGGGGGUAGGAAACAGAACAUCCUAUUUCUUAGGAAAUACUGAAAUAUUUAGGGGUAAAGGGUAA